UACGUAGGGUGCGAGCGUUGUCCGGAAUUAUUGGGCGUAAAGGGCUCGUAGGCGGCUUGUCGCGUCUGCUGUGAAAGCCCGGGGCUCAACCCCGGGUCUGCAGUGGAUACGGGCAGACUAGAGUGCGGUAGGGGAGAUUGGAAUUCCUGGUGUAGCGGUGGAAUGCGCAGAUAUCAGGAGGAACACCGAUGGCGAAGGCAGAUCUCUGGGCCGUAACUGACGCUGAGGAGCGAAAGCAUGGGGAGCGAACAGG
rnacentral:rRNA from 1 species